rnacentral:rRNA from 1 species
GAUGAACGCUGGCGGCGUGCCUAAUACAUGCAAGUCGAGCGAACAGACGAGGAGCUUGCUCCUCUGACGUUAGCGGCGGACGGGUGAGUAACACGUGGAUAACCUACCUAUAAUACUGGGAUAACUUCGGGAAACCGGAGCUAAUACCGGAUAAUAUAUUGAACCGCAUGGUUCAAUAGUGAAAGACGGUUUUGCUGUCACUUAUAGAUGGAUCCGCGCCGCAUUAGCUAGUUGGUAAGGUAACGGCUUACCAAGGCGACGGUGCGUAGCCGACCUGAGAGGGGGAUCGGCCACAUUGGAAGUGAGACACGGUCCAGACUCCUACGGGAGGCAGCAGUAGGGAAUCGUCCGCAAUGGGCGAAAGCCUGACGGAGCAACGCCGCGUGAGUGAUGAAGGUCUUCGGAUCGUAAAACUCUGUUAUGAGGGAAGAACAAAUGUGUAAGUAACUAUGCACGUCUUGACGGUACCUAAUCAGAAAGCCACGGCUAACUACGUG